rnacentral:rRNA from 1 species
GACGAACGCUGGCGGCGUGCCUAAUACAUGCAAGUCGAACGCAGUGGGGACGGGUGAGUAACACGUGGGUAACCUCCCAUCAGAGGGGAUAACACUUGGAAACAGGUGCUAAACCGAUACUGAUGGAUGGACCCGCGGUGCAUUAGCUAGUUGGUGAGGUAACGGCUCACCAAGGCCACGAUGCAUAGCCGACCUGAGAGGGUGAUCGGCCAAACUGGAACUGAGACACGGCCCAGACUCCUACGGGAGGCAGCAGUGGGGAAUAGUCGGCAAUGGGCGAAAGUCUGACGCAGCAACGCCGCGUGGAUGAAGAAGGUUUUCGGGUCGUAAAGCUCUUUUGUUGGAGAAGCGGUAUCUAAACAAGAAGCAACGGCUAACUACGUGCCAGCAGCCGCGGUAAUUC